rnacentral:rRNA from 1 species
AGCUCCAAUAGCGUAUAUUAAAGUUGUUGUGGUUAAAAAGCUCGUAGUUGGAUGUCGGCGGGGAGUGGUUGGUUUGAAUUGCUUCACUACUGACUUUUUUCCCCGUGUUUUUUGCCAGAAUCUUGCGGGGGAUCUUUACCGAUUUUCUGUUGGAACUGGCAGGUUUACUUUGAAAAAAUUAGAGUGCUCAAAGCAAGCUUACUGCUUUGAAUAGUUUGCGCAUGGAAUAAUAGAAUAGGAAGUCGUUUCUAUUUUGUUGGUUUUCGGAAAUCGACUUAAUGAUUAAUAGGGACAGUCGGGGGCAUUCAUAUUCAAACGACAGAGGUGAAAUUCUUGGACCGUUUGAAGAUGAACUAAGGCGAAAGCAUUUGCCAAGAAUGUUUUCA